UAACGCGUGGGUAACCUGCCCUUUUGUGGGGAACAACUUCGAGAAAUCGGAGCUAAUACCGCAUAAUAAUAGAGGAUCGCAUGAUUCUUUAAGGAAAGAUGGCCUCUGAAGAUGCUAUCGCAAAAGGAUGGACCCGCGUCUGAUUAGCUAGUUGGAAGGGUAACGGCCUACCAAGGCAACGAUCAGUAGCCGGCCUGAGAGGGUGAACGGCCACAUUGGGACUGAGGCACGGCCCAAACUCCUACGGGAGGCAGCAG
rnacentral:rRNA from 1 species